UACGGAGGGGGCAAGCGUUGUUCGGAAUUAUUGGGCGUAAAGAGCUCGUAGGCGGUUUGUCGCGUCGGCCGUGAAAUCUCCACGCUUAACGUGGAGCGUGCGGUCGAUACGGGCAGACUUGAGUUCGGUAGGGGAGACUGGAAUUCCUGGUGUAGCGGUGAAAUGCGCAGAUAUCAGGAGGAACACCGGUGGCGAAGGCGGGUCUCUGGGCCGAUACUGACGCUGAGGAGCGAAAGCGUGGGGAGCGAACAGG
rnacentral:rRNA from 1 species